UACGUAGGGCGCAAGCGUUGUCCGGAAUUAUUGGGCGUAAAGAGCUCGUAGGCGGCUUGUCACGUCGGGUGUGAAAGCCCGGGGCUUAACCCCGGGUCUGCAUUCGAUACGGGCUGGCUAGAGUGUGGUAGGGGAGAUCGGAAUUCCUGGUGUAGCGGUGAAAUGCGCAGAUAUCAGGAGGAACACCGGUGGCGAAGGCGGAUCUCUGGGCCAUUACUGACGCUGAGGAGCGAAAGCAUGGGGAGCGAACAGG
rnacentral:rRNA from 1 species